rnacentral:misc_RNA from 1 species
CGCAGCCCUCACACUUCACUCACACACUUCGCCGGCUAUAAAUAAAGUACCCCCGCUCAUCCUCAUCCAUAGCAAAUCCUCGACACCGAGCAAGAAGCCAGGAACCAGCUCAAAGUUAUUCGUCCAAGAACCCCACCCCACUCCCCGAAUAGAAAUUUCGUCUUGGAGAGCCACCAAUGGCUUGUUCCACUGCAUCUUUAGCGGCGACGCUGCUGGCGUUCGCGCUGAUGUUCCAGGCCUGCGUCGCGGGGAGGCGGAGGCUCACCGCGCUCGUGCAGGAGCCGGCCAUCACCAUGAAGUACCACAAGGCCGCGCUCCUGUCGGGCCCCAUCGCCGUCAACUUCAUCUGGUACGGCGACUUCACGGCGCCACAGCGGGCGGUGAUCACCGACUUCGUCUCGUCGCUGUCCGCGGCCCCGCGGGCGGCGGCGCAGUCGCAGCCGGAGCCGUCCGUGUCCACGUGGUUCAAGACGGCGCGCAAGUACUACGACACCUCCAAGGCGCGUUUCCCGGCGCUGCGCCUCGGCUCCCACGCCGUCGACCGGAACUGCUCCCUCGGCAGGCGGCUCACGGAGCGGGACCUCCUCAGGCUCGCCGCCAGGGGGGCACCGAGCCGCGCCAUCAACCUGGUGCUCACGGCCGCCGACGUGGCCGUGGACGGGUUCUGCGCGUCCCGUUGCGGCACGCACGGCGCGUCCCCGCGGUCCCGCGCCGGCCGGUUCGCGUACGUGUGGGUGGGCAACCCGGCGUCGCAGUGCCCCGGACAGUGCGCGUGGCCGUUCCACCAGCCCGUCUACGGCCCGCAGGCGCCGCCGCUCACGCCCCCCAACGCCGACGUCGGGGUCGACGGCAUGGUGAUCUCGCUGGCGUCCAUGAUCGUCGGCACCGUCACCAACCCGUUCGGCAACGGGUUCUACCAGGAGGGCUCGGCCGACGCGCCGCUCGAGGCCGCCACGGCGUGCGCCGGCGUGUACGGCAAGGGCGCGUACCCCGGCUACGCGGGGGCGCUGCUGGUGGACCCGGCCAGCGGCGCCAGCUUCAAUGCCAACGGGGCCCACGGGAGAAAGUACCUGGUCCCGGCGCUCGUGGAUCCGGACACGUCGUCGUGUGCCACCUUGGGGUAGAUUUCGCGGAUCGUAAAUUAGUGUUUGCGAUGUGGCGGUGGUAGUGCUGUGGAGAGUGUUCCACGCGGCUAAAAGUUUGUGCUAAAGUAGUACUGACCAGGUUGCAUUAUUUCAUUUGUUCAAUGAAAAUGAAGUAUUUUCACGCACAUACUACUCUUAUGCAUGUCGAUUCUGCCUGCAAUUUACUCGGUUUCCCAAAAGUUUUUGCCAGCUUGGUAUGAAUCAUGACU